CUUGCAAACAAUGCCAGUCUCCGAUUUCACCUACCGACACUUCUACUCUCUCUACUAUGCUCUGAAGAAGAAGGAAGAGCUGCAAUGUCUGCAAUAUUCCGAUGGAGAACAAAGCUGAGGCACAUAACUCCUACAAUCACUUGUCUCUCUUCAUCAUCACCAACCUCAUCUUCAUCCUCUCACUAUCACUCCUCUCUCAACCCAACACCACUCCUCUCUCUCCAUCGCCACCGCCAACGCCAACCUCCUCUAGGGUUAGGGUUAGGGUUUCAGGAGCGACACAAAUGGGACGGAAGCUCCGACGAUUUCGACCAAAUUCGCGCUCAAGUCAACUGCCCUCGCUGUUCCAAGCUCAUGGCCAUCCUUUUCUCGACCCGUCCCUUGUCGAUCACUGGAGGCGAGACCGGUGUGUUUCAAGCCCUCAAUCUCUGCCCUAAUUGCAGGACUGCGUUCUAUUUCAGGCCCUUCAAGUUGGUUCCAUUGCAGGGAAGUUUCAUUGAGAUUGGGAGAGUUAAAGGGAGGGAUGAGGAGGGGAGUGUUGGAAAAGAUGAUGACGAAAAUGGGAGAGCUGGGGCUAGGAUUUGGGAAAGGCUGAGAUCCUAUGGCGGAGACGGGGCGGGGAGUAUGAGCGGGGUCGAAGUGAAAAUGCCGGUGGGGCAAACGGUUGAGGUAAAAACAGGGGGUAGUGGGGAGGGGGAUGGGUGCGGCGGGGCGAAUUUGGGAAAGGAGUUGCCGACACCGAAGGAGAUAUGUAGGCGGCUUGAUGAGUUUGUUAUUGGGCAAGAAAAAGCCAAAAAGGUGCUCUCUGUGGCUGUCUACAAUCACUACAAAAGGAUAUACCAUGCUUCCUCAUGUAAAGAUGCCAGGUCAGGUGUAGUGUCAGAUAAAGGUGAAGUUGAAGAUGAUAGCAAUUCUGUUGAACUAGAGAAGAGCAAUGUGUUACUCAUGGGUCCAACUGGCUCAGGGAAGACAUUACUUGCGAAAACAUUAGCUCGCGUUGUGAAUGUGCCUUUUGUCAUUGCAGAUGCAACAACGUUAACUCAGGCUGGUUACGUUGGAGAAGAUGUAGAAUCAAUAUUGUACAAAUUACUUGUGGUUGCUGAGUUCAAUGUGGAAGCAGCUCAACAAGGGAUUGUGUACAUUGAUGAAGUUGAUAAGAUAACUAAGAAGGCUGAGAGCUUAAACAUAGGCAGAGAUGUAUCUGGAGAGGGUGUUCAACAGGCAUUGCUGAAAAUGCUGGAAGGAACUAUUGUGAACGUUCCUGACAACAGAGCUCGAAAACAUCCUCGUGGUGAUAGCAUUCAGAUGGAUACCAAGGACAUACUUUUUAUUUGUGGUGGAGCCUUUGUUGAUUUGGAAAAGACCAUUUCAGAAAGACGACAAGAUUCUUCCAUUGGUUUUGGAGCACCAGUUCGGGCAAAUAUGAGACUCAGUGGACUAACUAAUUCUGUAGUUACAUCAUCAUUAUUAGAAUCCGUGGAAAGUGGUGAUCUUAUUGCAUACGGCCUUAUACCAGAAUUUAUUGGACGCUUUCCUAUUUUAGUGAGUUUAUCUGCUCUAAAUGAAGAUCAACUUGUUCAGGUCCUCUCAGAGCCCAAAAAUGCUCUUGGGAAACAGUACAAGAAAAUGUUCAGCAUGAACAAUGUCAAUUUACAUUUUACGGAUAAUGCUCUUAGGUUGAUCGCAAAGAAAGCAAUGGCAAAGAAUACUGGUGCCCGGGGCUUGAGAGCAAUAUUAGAAAAUAUUCUUACAGAAGCCAUGUUUGAGGUUCCAGAUGCCAAGUCAGGAAAUGACAGUAUAGAUGCAGUUGUGGUUGAUGAAGAGGCUGUAGGAUCAGUAGACACUCCGGGAUGCGGAGCAAAAAUUCUCCGCAGAGAUGGUUCAGUGGAGCCAUUUCUUCAUCAAACAAAAUCAACUAAUCCCAUGGUAUAUUUGUGUCUGUGAAGUGAACUACCUGGACUUGGACCUACGUGGAAUUAUAUUCACAGCAGUUCUAUUUCCUUUUUUCUUUUCCCUCUACUCUCCUCUUCUUAUUCUUUGGGGCUAAAAGGAGUGAGGAUGCUGAAGGAGCACUGGAGAGAGAAUUAGAGGUCUCAUCAACAGCCAUGAGCUUAUGACUUCAUGUUUUAUCAUAUAUGUGUAAUAAUCCCCAUUUAUGUUUACUACAAGCGUGACAUGUGAUCAUUGGGGAUCCUUUUCUCCUUUUAUUUUUAUUUUUUUGGCUUUAUCCUCUCUUCUUUUUUCUUUUUUCAUUUCAAAAAAAAUUAUCAUUGUAUAUAAUUGUAAUUUUCAAUUUUCAAUUAUAUUAAGCUGAUUUUGUCAUGUGAGAA